ensembl:lncRNA
ACAGACCACAGUAAUCAACAAACUCAGCCAAAAUGAGAAGAGAGGCUUUGACUGGAUUUAAUCCUCCAUCCACUGUGCUCAGUUUUUCUGUCGCACUGUGUCCGACUGACUAACGCUCCACUGUAUAAAGACUUCAUUGGCUCUGAACAGACAGCCAGAACAAUAAACAACGAAAAUAGAUACAAAUGCAUGCUCAGAAGAGAGUGGGCUAAAAGAUGAGCUGAGAACAAUACCCCCAUGGACAUAAAAACUGGAAAUAUUUUGUCUUUUUUCUUCAAACUCUUGGAUUAUCUCUUAAAAUACAGUUCUGUCUCCAAUUUCAUUUCGACAUUGUAUUUACAAUGUUUUCAUGUCAUGGAGCAUUUGACAAAUGGAGUUUUCUGCUGCUAUAACAUAUUUUGAUUUCAAGACUGUCCUGACUUGCCAUUAAAACAGAGGAAACAUGCUAAAGUAUUUUACCAGAAAGGAAUAACCUAAACAUUUGACUGUGACAUUUCUCCAUUUCUUUUAUUUUGUCAUGGCCCUGUAGAAGCCAGCUGCCAUGAAUCUUAUGAAUUCUGAUAGCAAUUUUUUUCAGAAUCAGUGGAAUUAACAAAUUCACAAUUCAUUCUUCAAACUUCAGCCGUGCCUCCCACCAACCCCUCCCACCAUCAGCCAUCCGACCAAUCAUGGGCAAGCCUCUUAGCCGUCCCGGGUGUUUCAGGAAGAGCUCCUGCUGCCUGGAGAAACAUGGAGCUGGGGAUGGGGGAGUGGGAGGGCGAGCUGGGGGAGUGGAUGGGGGAUAUGGAGAUGGCUAUGUACCCCAAAGGUCCAUCUACGAUACCAUGUGCAUCAAUCAACAGAUAGACAGCCAACAUCAUCAACCUGGAGGGUCCAUAAGGCGAGACUGUGGAGGCGAGGGGAGUUUUAGCUACUCUGCAAGUGGCUCCCUGAGAGUUAGCAGGUCUCCAGCUGACAUGUUCGAUCCGCAACCCCGCUCUUUAACUCCAAACCCCUCAUUUGUGCGGCGACUGGAUGAAAGAGUUAUCUAUGAUUCUUUGAAACUUGGGGGUCAGGAUGCCGAUGGUGAUGGCUGCCAUUCUCCAGGACGUUUCACUCGAUCAGUUUCUCCCUCUGUAUCUUCAUUCUCAGCACCGGGAGUGUCCUCCUCCUCAUCCAAGAAACAUCAUCAUCACCACCACCAUCACCAUGGAGACAGCACAAAGAGUAGAGAUGGCCGACAUUCCUGGAAAGUCUUGACACCUCCAAAACACCUAGAGUGUCUGGAGCUCACUACAACUGAAAUGAUGGACAGAGGAGGUGGAUAUCUGAAUCCAGGGCACUACCAUCCCCCUGGGGGCCAGUCCUCCUCCCUUACCUCCCCCCUUAUUUCCCCCUUCUCUGGAUCACCUCUCUCUUCGGGUUACCAUACGCCAGUCUUUUUCUCCCCUGCCAAACCUCGUCCCAGUCAGACUCAGAGUUUGCGCUGUUCCCCUCCCCACAUCAUCCAGCCACGGCAUUACUCUCAAACCCAGAGCCUCAGGCUAUCACCGCCCCAUGAGCUUAGGCGAUCCCCCUACCGUUCCCCCCUAGUCCAACUGUCUGCUCAUGACCUUGAACAGGACCUCAGGGAUCGAGGAGGAGGAUGGGGCCGCAGUGAGCGAGAAAGAGAAUGGGAGAGGGAGAGGGAAAGGGAGAUGGAGAGAGGAUGGGCCCAGCGAGAGUGGGAAAGAGAGAGGGAGAGAGGGCGCCUCGAGAGAGAGAGGGCGAGAGAAAGGGAGAGGAGAGAAACAUCAACUUUUGGGACCUUCGGGUAUGGUCGACCAGUUCCUCUGCGUUCAGACAGAGACUCAGUGUUUUUAGAGCCCGACCAGGACACAACACCCCUGUUGCUCCCUCAGCCCUCACCUUCACCCUCCCCCUGUGCUGCUCCCAGAAUGGGCACUGGUGCUGUAGGAAGGAAUAGAGCGGGGUCAAAGGUUGGCCCUGAUAGUGUGGGUGGGGGAAUGGUUUCUAAGUUUGACAAUGGGAGUGUGGGUUUGGUGUUAGUUGACAGCAGAUCUGGUUGUGGGCCAAGGUUAGUUAGUGAAGUUGGAGCUGGAAACAUAGCAGAGGUUGAUAUUAGGGCUGGAAUACAAGAACACCACAGAUCUGAAAGUUGGAACAAAUAUGAUAAUGGAUCUAGAGCUAGCAUUAUAAAUGGGUCUGAAACAAGAAAAGGAUCCCAGGUGAAAACAAGACCAGGGGGGCGGGAUUUGGAAGGGAAAGUGCAGUCUGGUGUGGAGAAAAAAAAUAUGGCUCCUUGUGUGACUAAGGAGGGACAUAGGGGAAGUACAAGGAGUGGGGAAAAAAGUGGAAGGAUCAUUGUUAAACCAGAACGUAUUGAUGAGGCUAUACCUUCAACAAUGAGUGAAAGUGAGAACAAGGUUGGGCAUGUUGAUAAAGUUGGGAUUGUAACUGGAAGUGGUCCAAAGCCAGACUUUGAUGUAGAGGUUGAAACUAAAGCUAGUUCAAGACAGGUGGAGAACAGAAGUGGAGCAGACACUGGAAGUGUAGCUGAGGUUAAGAAUGAAGUUGGUUCAGCGAUAGAGUCUAGAGUAGAAGCUAACGUUGAGACAGAGGUAAAGAUUGCUCCUACACCUGCACCUGAGGCUGUGCCAGAAGCUGGGGUUGGUAAUAAGACAGGGACAAGGAGUAAUAAUGAGACUGUAGUUGCCUGUGAUAGCUGGAGCAGCAACAAGACGACAGAUAAAGCUCAGAUAAGUAUUGGGGCUGGGGAUAAAAUUGAUUCUGCCCCUGCAGAUCAGGCUGGGAAAAUGACUUUGGACAAAAUUGAUUCUAGCCAUGUAGAGAAAGGUUCCAGAUCCAAUAAGUCCAAAUCAUCCAAGUCCAGCUCCAGGAAUCGACCUGGCACCGCCACAGGGCUCCGACCAGGUGUAGUCAGCCCUCGACUAAGCAGAGGGCUUGGGGACCUUGAGACAACAUGCUCUACUGAGGGCAUUGAGUCCACCUGGCCUCGCCGAAUCAUUGUCAGAAAAAGGACUGUUCGGCAAGGUGGGGCAGUCCACAACCUCCCUAUUCUCCCUCCACUACCCUCUGUUCUAUCAGCAUUGGAGAAGAGGCGUCCGUUUGCCCUUCUCCAACCACAUCUAGGACACUUCUCAGAGAACCCGCUAACAAAUAUAAUGACUGCUAUAAGUAUGGUAGGACGAAGCUCACUUAAAGAACCCUCCCAUCCAGAACCAGGGCAGGGUAUCGCUUUGGUGGGCAGGGCUUCACUGAAGGAGCAGAACUUGGAACACUGGAGAGUCUGCAGAGAACAAGAAGAACCAAGGAGAUCCAGAAGCAAAGAGAAAAAAGGUGAGCCGAUCAAGGAGAAGAUGGAGAGGGAGGAGAGGAAGGAAAAGGAAGAGAAGAGAGAAAAGGAGGGGAGAGGAGAAAAAGACAAAAAGGAGGAGAGAUUGGAUAAGGAGAAAGUGAGGGUUACUGUUAGUCGCUGGGAGGUAGAGGAAUUCAAGCAAGAAAAUUCUGUGAGAAAUGUUGAGGGGAAAGUGCAAGAGGAUAAAAAAAAACAGGAAGAAGUGAAAAAGGAAAGUUGUGAAGAAAUGAAGUCUGAAAAGGGAGAGGAGAUAGAAAUGAUAAACAAGGAUGGAGAACAAGAGUUGCAUGGACAAGAGUUGGAGGAGGUCGUUGCUAUAUUAAAGACAGAAAAAGGUCAGUGUGAGGGAGAGGAAGGAGGGAUAUUUGGAGAUGACGGGGGGAUGGAGAGUUGGGAUGCUGUCCUUGAGAUGGUCACCACAUUAUGGGAUGAUGGCUGGGAAAAGGGGGGAGGGGGAGCUGUAGGUGAUACAGAUUCCUUCUCAGGCUCCUUGCAACGCUGGCCUCUUCUCCGGCCUCCGAUCGGCUUUGGAGGCUCCCACCCCCCAUCCUCAGCAGCCUCAGAGCUCAGCUUGACAGAGUUAGAAAGAAGAGCCAGGGAACUGGAUUCUGACCUGGAACAUCUAGACCUGUCUCAGCCCCAGAGGGACACACAGGAUGUAUACCAAACGCUGCUUGAGCCACAGAGGGAACGAGCUGACAUGUAUCAAACACACCCUGGGCCACAGAGAGAGAAAGCUGCUCUAUUGACAGGAGUGGCAAGCAGAUCUCAGGUCAGUUUGGAGCUCAGCACUAUGGCCUCACCAGCUACAGACAUGGACAGAUCUCCUGUUGACUGGUCAACAAAACUUGCUGGGACUUACACUGCUGGCACAAGCUCCACUAAGGAGGACAACUCUCCAGACUCCAACCUUACGUUGGAGUCAGACUCCAGCGGCGUCUUCCUCUCCUUAUCCAAUCAGAGCCAGGAGGAGGCCGGCUCUGAUAGUGACCAGCCAAUCAGUGGCUCUGACCUAGGCAGCAGCAACACAUCACUGGAGAAGGACGGGGACGAUGGAGGGUUAAAAGAAUGGGGGAGGGAGGAGAGUGCAGAGCUGCAAUGGUGCUACCCAUCUCUCCUCAACACAGAGGACACAAGAGGAGAUGAGGAAAGACAGGAAGCAGAGUAUGGAAAGAUGUCAGUAGAUGAGGAGAGAGAGAAAGAUGAGAAUGUGAGGAGAGUUGGUAAGAUGGGAACAGUUUCCGUCAUAAGGACCAUGCUUGACCAUACAGACAUCAGGGACUCCAGAAAUGUAAAUGCCCCACAAUGUGGAGAAAUACCACCCAGAAAAAAAGUGACCCUCAUGGGAAGUGAUUCCCCCCUGCCAUUGUCUCCCUCAAAACAACCAAUCAAACAUGUUGUAGAUCCUAAUCAGAAGCCAAUCCGAAGCUCAGGUUUGGACUGUGGUGACUUAGAUCCUUUUGUUCAGUCGGACAGCUUUGUUUACCUUGCCGUGUCUGCAAGACCUGCCUCCCGGGGUGAAGUCACCACAGUGACAGAAGUUCCCACUCAUCAUAGAAAACAAGACAGUGUACCACAACAUUCAGAUUGCAUGAAACCAUGCUUGGACCAGUCAAAUACAGAACGGGACAACAAGCCAACUCACCCUGCCCCACAUAAACCAGAGGAAGGAGACUUUUUGUGCACUGACAGCUUUGUCUAUCUGGCUGCUCCAGCAUGCCUCCUUCUUGGCCCUGCAGGGACUACACCUUAUAGUGGCAGGGAGUCAGACUCGGAGAGUUCAGGAUCUGGCGCUGUAGAUGUGUCAGUACUGGGUUGUGGCUCGGUGGCAGGUGACAGUGACUGGGACUCAGACCUGUCUGACACAGAUCCCAGUCGCUCUUGCAGAAUCUCUGCUGCUGCAAACAAGUCUGCUGGCAUGGCACGGCCUAAGCGGCUGCCUACUGAACUGGGCUGGGACUUGUUUGGAGAAACAACUGAGCCUGAUGUGCUGAGUGAGCUCUUCAGGGAACAGGACAGAGACAACAAUGACAAAGCAAAGAGGGCUACCGAGGUUACCAACAGCAUGUCAGCGACCCAGGCUAUUCCCAUGGCAACUCAGCCUGUCACAACGCCAAUGAAGCAGGCAACAGUAGAGCUGUCGUCCACAACAAAGAAGGUGACAUGGCAGUUUAAACCAGCCCAGAGGUCAGUCUGCACCGGAAGCAGAAAGGAGAAAGAGAAGGAAAUUACAUCAUCAUCGGUAAGGAUUACAGAGCUGGGAAGAGACGAGACCUAUAGACCUUCCCCUUCUUCUUCAUCGUCUUCAUCAUCGUCACCAUCAUCAUCCUCUUCUGGUUGA